GCUAUAACGAAACUGUUACCGAGGAUGAAGAUGAUGAUAAUCGUGCUCCUCUUACUCGGGGUCGGCAACCUUUCUGAUGAUGAGUGCCGUCUAAACUUUCCUCUGAAGUAAAUGUGCCAUAUGAUUGUUAGCGAUGUGCGGUGUUCCAGAUCAGCUGGCGUUCAGAUCAACUGGCGUCGGUCGAACAGAUGUGUGGCAGUCUUGCGUUUCUGGAGCUGCUACCGACAAACCAGCAAAAAAACGCCACCUGUGACACGUGUGAGGUUAUCUCAAACACACUCCGUCAGUCUCGAUGCUGGUGAUUGCAUUGCAAAUCCGUCAGCAGAUAAAUUGGAGCAGCCGGGCUACGUAAGUGUAGAGGGGCGUGUUCGCUUUGCCGUCCAGCGGGUGUGUGGACGGGAGCGUGACACAGUCGCUCCACAAAAAAAAAAAAAAAAGACACAGUCCUCCACCUCAAAUCACUACUGCGCAGACUCUGGCUCCAAAAAUGCAAGAUGGCAGCCUCCACAAGUGGGAUUUUUUUUUUUAAUGAACUUUAUUCAGAACAAUGACAAUCUCAAAGAGACAAGCGCCAUAUUAAAUCAAUCAGAACAGAAUCACAUCUCCUGUACACCACGAUGAAAUCGACAAUAACUGAAAGUAAACAUACAUACAUACACACACAUAUAUAUACAUAUAUAUGCAUAUACACAUGCAUACAUACACAUCCAUAUCCACACAGCUACAUAAUAAUAAUAUAAAAAGAUGAAUAACCAAUACAAAAAUAAAUAACAAUAAAAAAGAAUGAAAAACAAGGAACAGAAAUAAAGACGACAAGGGGGAUCAUAAAAUCUCUAAAAGUGAGGUUCCAUAAACAAGACUCAUAACUUAAAUAAGGGGCUAAGAAAAAUCAAACUCUUGUAUAAAUCUAUGCAAUUUGAUUGCUUAGGGCUUAUUUAUUAGCUUAAGAGAUUUACGGAACAGGGAGAGGUCGUUUUUAAGAGCAGGCCAUGAAGGGGGGGAUUUAGCAUAUCGGCAUUUAUGUAUGUAAUACUUUGUUAACUAAAAGCUCACUAUUUUUGUCCUUAAGGAUUACUCCAAUUUGAAUAUUUUGAAAAGACCAAAAAUCAAUAUAUCCAUACUGGGACAAUAUUAGGACAUGGAGAGAUUUCCAUAAAUUCUGGAUUGUCACACAUCCAUAGAACAUGUGCUCUGUUGUUUCUGAAAUUGUUUUACAAAUAUAACAUUUGUAUUUGUAUCUUUAUUUAUUUCAGACAUAAUAAAACAAACAAAAAAAACCAAUAUAUACUCGUCUACAUGUAUUUUCAUUUACGAAUACGAAUAUGUGUGUAGAUAUACACACAUAUUCGUAUUUGUACAGACAAACAAGAAAGAAAUAUAAUAAAAUAAAACACAUUCGUCUAACAUGAGAUAACAGUUGUUUGGUCUGAAAAGGAGUAGGAAGAAGUAUGCACAUACUUAUUAACUCCUACCCCUGCUCAACAUCUUAUUAAUCCCACAUAUUUACCUAAUUCUCCUCAUCACAUACUCCAC
ensembl:lncRNA